rnacentral:rRNA from 1 species
GAUGAACGCUAGCGGCAGGCUUAAUACAUGCAAGUCGAGGGGCAGCAGGACUGUAGCAAUACAGUUGCUGGCGACCGGCAAACGGGUGCGGAACACAUACGCAACCUACCCAAAACUGGGGGAUAGCCCGGGGAAACCCGGAUUAAUACCUCGUAACCUUUUUAAGUGGCAUCACUUGAUAAGUAUAGCUCCGGCGGUUUUGGAUGGGCGUGCGCCUGAUUAGGUAGUUGGUGCGGGUAACGGCCCACCAAGCCUGCGAUCAGUAACUGGUGUGAGAGCACGACCAGUCACACGGGCACUGAGACACGGGCCCGACUCCUACGGGAGGCAGCAGUAAGGAAUAUUGGUCAAUGGACGCAAGUCUGAACCAGCCAUGCCGCGUGAAGGAUGAAGGUCCUCUGGAUUGUAAACUUCUUUUAUGGGGGACGAAACCCGGAUAUUCUUAUCCGAUUGACGGUACCUCAGGAAUAAGCACCGGCUAACUCCGUG